rnacentral:rRNA from 1 species
UACGUAGGGUGCGAGCGUUAAUCGGAAUUACUGGGAGUAAAGCGUGCGCAGGCGGUUCUGAAAGUCAGCUGUGAAAGCCCCGGGCUUAACCUGGGAAUGGCGGUUGAAACUACAGGACUAGAAUCUGGCAGAGGGGGGUGGAAUUCCACGUGUAGCAGUGAAAUGCGUAGAUAUCAGUCGGAACACCGGUGGCGAAGGCGGCUUCUUGGGCCAUUUCUGACGCUGAGGCGCGAAAGCUAGGGGAGCGAACGGG